rnacentral:sRNA from 1 species
GGCGGGGUCUACCUGAGCCCGAUGUUCCUCUACGGGCUGGCGGCGCUGGGGCUGACCAUCGGCCUGCGCCUGCUCCUGCAACUGACGCCCCUGGCGCGCUGGAUCUGGCACGAGGCGCUGUUCGACUGCGCGCUC